ACAUUUUAUAGAAAAACAUUAAUAUGACGUGUUGCAAACUUUCAUAAUUUACUCAUGUACAAGUUGUCAAGAGUCUUGACUCAAGAAAUAAUUUUAUUACUUUAUGAUAUCAAAUAAAAAAUACCUGAAAUUAUUAACAGCUGACUUAGAGCGGAACAUUAAGAUAAAGCACAGAGCUAUAUACAAUCAACUUCAUAUAAUAUCCAUAAGCAGUAAACUCCUCGAAUGCCCUCACGUCCAUUAUUUAAACUUCCAAAAUAAAACUUAUAAAAUGGAUACAUUUAAUCGUUAUACUGUAUCACCAAGUUUAAUUGACGGUAACUUACUAUAGCCUAUAAGUACCCUUAGCUAUUAUUAUUUUGGUUUUUUAAAUAUUAAAUAUUGUUUAAAUUAAAAAAGUGUAUGUAAUAUAUUUUGUGAAACUAACCACCAUAAAUCAAGUUUAUUUUGUGGAUCUUACAGCUGUUAAAUAUUUAAUUUAUUAACUGUAAUUAAUACAUCCAUCAAUAAAGCAUAUAA